AGCGAACGCUGGCGGCAGGCCUAACACAUGCAAGUCGAACGGAUCCUUCGGGAUUAGUGGCGGACGGGUGAGUAACACGUGGGAACGUGCCCUUUGGUUCGGAACAACUCAGGGAAACUUGAGCUAAUACCGGAUGUGCCCUUCGGGGGAAAGGUUUAUCGCCAUUGGAGCGGCCCGCGUCUGAUUAGCUAGUUGGUGAGGUAAAGGUUCACCAAGGCGACGAUCAGUAGCUGGUCUGAGAGGAUGAUCAGCCACAUUGGGACUGAGACACGGCCCAAACUCCUACGGGAGGCAGAAGUGGGGAAUCUUGCGCAAUGGGCGAAAGCCUGACGCAGCCAUGCCGCGUGAAUGAUGAAGGUCUUAGGAUUGUAAAAUUCUUUCACCGGGGACGAUAAUGACGGUACCCGGAGAAGAAGCCCCGGCUAACUUCGUGCCAGCCGCCGCCGUAA
rnacentral:rRNA from 1 species